rnacentral:rRNA from 1 species
AUCUACAGCCAUGCCAUCCUGAACAUGCCCGAUCUCGUCUGAUCUUGGAAGCAAAGCAGGGUUGGGCCUGGUUAGUACUUGGAUGGUAGACCACCUAGGAAUACCAGGUGCCGUAGGCG